GAUGAACGCUGGCGGCGUGCCUAAUACAUACAAGUCGAGCUAAGCGGGGACGGGUGAGUAACACGUUGAUAACCUCCUAUAAGACUGAAAUAACUUCCGGAAACCGGAACUAAACCGGAUGCUUAUCGCUGGAUCCACGCUGCAUUAGCUAGUUGGUACAGUAACGGCUUACCCAGGCAACGAUUCAUAGCCGACCUGAGAGGCUGAUGGGCCACACUGUAACUGAGACACGGUCCAGACUCCUAUGGGCGGCAGAAGUAGUGAAUCUUCCGCAAUGGGCGAAAGCCUGACGGAGCAACGCCGCGUGAGUGAUGAAGGUCUUUGGUUCGUAAAACUCUUUUAUUAGGGAAGCGGUACCUAAUCAGAAAGCCACGGCUAACUACGUGCCAGCAGCCGCGGUAAUUC
rnacentral:rRNA from 1 species